ACAUAUAGGUCAACUGACAAAGCUCCAAACGUUGACUGACUUUCUCGUGGGAAGACAGAGUGAGACUAGCAUUAAAGAAUUGGGAAAGCUACGACAUCUACAGGGAGAUCUUCAUAUUCGGAACCUUCAAAAUGUGGUGGAUGCUCGGGAUGCUGGUGAGGCAAAUUUGAAAGGUAAAAAGCACCUUGAUAAGCUGAGGUUUACAUGGGAUGGUGACACUCAUGACCCGCAACACGUAACAAGCACGCUCGAGAAAUUAAAGCCACAUAUAAAUGUGCAGUAUCUUAAGAUUGAUGGUUAUGGAGGUGUAAGGUUUCCGGAGUGGGUAGGAGAGUCCUCUUUCUCCAAUAUAGUGUCCUUGAAGCUCAUUAGAUGUACAAACUGCACCUCCUUACCACCGCUCGGGCAAUUAGCUUCUUUAGAGCGUCUCUCCAUUGAAGGAUUCGAUAAAGUUGAGACUGUGGGCUCUGAGUUCUAUGGGAAUUGUACAGCUAUGAAGAAGCCAUUUGAAUCCCUCAAAACAUUAUCUUUUAAAAGCAUGCCAGAGUGGCGCGAGUGGAUUUCAGACGAAGGCAGCCAGGAAGCCUUCCCUCUUCUAGAGUCGCUUUCAAUCGAAGAAUGCCCGAACCUUGCAAAGGCCCUUCCUAGGUUUCCCAGGUUGCUCUCUCUCGAUGUUUCUGGAUGCCACUCCCUAGAGUCCCUACCCGAGGAAAUUGAUCAAAUGGGUUGUUCACCCUCUGAUUUAGGGCGAAUUGAAAUCAAGGGCUGUGCUUCUCUCAAAUGCGUCGCACUGGACUUGCUCCCCAAGUUAAAAUCUCUUUCUAUCUCUGACUGUCGAGAUCUCGAAUCAUUAUGUGCACAUGAAAGACCUCUCAAUGAUCUCACCUCUCUCCAUUCUUUGAAAAUCUGGGGGUGCCCUAAAUUAGUUAUCUGCUCCAGUCUUGACACAACUUCAUUUAGUAAACUGCAGCAACCUGAAGCUGUUACCUGAGAGAAUGCAUUCCCUCCUCCCAUCCCUUAACCUUUUGGUAAUAUAUAGUUGUUCAGAAGUUGAGUUGUGUCCAGAAGGGGAUUUUCCCUCCACAUUACAAUCACUUGAGAUUACGAAUUGCAACAAACUCAUUGCAGGCCGCAUGCUUCUGCCCUCAAGUCUUAAAUCUCUUAACAUCUCUUACCUAAAAUCUCUUCCAAGGCUUCAACACCUCACCUCCCUUACACAAUUGACAAUAAGUAACUGCCCUCUGAUUGAGUCAAUGCCAGAAGAAGGGUUGCCCUCCUCCCUUUAUUAUCUUCAAAUUCUGGGUUGUCCUAUGCUGAGUGAAAGUUGUGAAAGGGAGAAAGGUAAAGAUUGGCCCAAGAUUUCUCACAUUCCUCGCAUACAUAUUUAACCCAUAAUCAGCGGAGCAAAGAUGUAGCAGUUAAAAGGAGGUUUUCUUUCAAUCGUCCAACAUAUUGAGGUAUUGCUACUAAAUAGUUUAUUUUCUUUUCAGUAAUCCAAAGCAAUUUCAAUUAAAAUUUGGAUGAAUGAAAUACGGAUAUUGUCCAUUUUGUAUUGUUUUUAUUUGUUGGAUGUAGAAAUACAGAUAUUUUCUUCCUAUUGUCUCUCAUUCAUCUCCAUAAAUAAUAAUCAUCAUUCUAUUUCAAUAUAUCAAGCUGGAGGAUCAUCACAUGCUUCAGAUUUUGAACUGCCAGCACCACCCUUAAUUUGGACAGGAGGCUAUUGUCAUUGAAUUUUAGCAACGGAAUAUUUCUUUUGCUAAUUUAACAACAAAAUGUGUAUAUAUGAUUUUUUUUAAUAUUAACAAUGACAUUAGUGAUAGAAAAUCCAAGCUAAAAAGGAUUUAAAAAAUAUUAAAUUAUUUAAGUAAUUUGCAACGGAUUUUUCAUUGUUGACGUGCUUGGCAACAUCAAAUCUGCAACUGAUUCCAAAAAUAAAUCAAACCCUUAAUUAUAUAAAAUCCCCAUCCUUUCUCCUUUUCUCUUUUCCCGCAUCUUCAAAAAUUAAAAAAAAUAAAAAAUUCUCCAUCUCUUUCUCUAGUCUCUUCCCUUCUCCAAAAAUUCAAAAUUCAAAAACUUUUUUUUAUCUUUUAUUUAUUAUUUAACUUUGAUUAAAUUGUUUUUAUUCCAUAUAAAGCAGAAGUUAAAAAAUGAUUUUGGAGUACAUGUAAGUCAUAUCUUUUUUGGAGUUUACUGUUGUUCAGGACAAAUAAUUAGUCAUUUUCAUAUCAUCCGCCAUUUCCGCUCUUUAGUUAACUUGCAUACAUACAGAGAGAUCAUUUUGGUAAAAUUAUUAAGAAGCAAAGCAAAUUCCUUCAUCAGAUAUGGGAUUUCAAAGGAAAAAUAGGGAUUUAAAUCUUUACGGACCAUUCGUAAACCAUUGAUCUGAGAGAGGGAUAUUUGGGUUUCGUGCUUGUUUCAUAAAUAAAUAAAUAAAUAAAAUUUUCUCAUGAGGAGAUUUCAGAUAUAAUAAAUUAUGUUCGUUUGGAUCUACGAAGGAAAGAGGAAGAAGAAGUGGAAUGGCUAAUGGCUAAGUUCUUAAAUUGGAUGACCGGCUUAGCAAUUAAAGGGUUACUGGCUACUAAAAAAAAUGAUAUGAAUUAUUAACAACAAACAAUUAAAUAAAAAAGAAGCUGAUAACUGAAAAAUCAGCAACGAAAAUCCAAUGUGAAGCUAAAACCUAAGCUAUUAGAAUAGUCAAGUUAACUGUUUAAACUUACAAUUGUGUUAGUGGAAGUUGGAUAACUCGUUAAAAAAAUAUUAUAUUAAAAUAAAAAAUUUUAAAAAAUAUUGAUUAAAAUAUGAAGUGAAAAGAAAGAUUGGUAUAUAAUAAAAAUUAUUCCAAUCAAACCCACUUUUUCGACCAUGGGAUCUCUUGGCAAAUAAAGCAAGUAAAAUUAGUAAAAUGUGGGACCUAGCUCCAAUUUCCUAGCACUCAUAAUCGUAAUUUUAAAACUCAGCAUAGCGGGUUGACCUGGAACAUGGUUGAUUUGGGGCUGAAACCUAAUCGAAUUGAAAAAAAAAUCCGAUAUGACUCGAUUGAACCAGCGAGUUGAUCCGACCGCAAGCCCAUACUUUAUCAAUGAAAUAAAAGUGAUAAAAGAAAAGGAGAGAAGAAAUAAAGUGAAGUCUUCUUCUGCAUUAUUAGCACAUCACGUGAAAAGAAAGAUACAAACAAAGUUACUCCAUUUUCCUCUCACUUUUUCAACCGAUGGGGCUUCUUGGCAAAUAAAGCAAGGACAGACCGAGUUGAUGCGCUACCUAACUCCUUUUUCCUGGCCCGCGCAAUUCACGCAUACACAAACACAUCAAAAUUUACUUUAAUUUAGAAAAGAUUUUAAAAUUUUAUUUUUUAAUUUAAUAAUAACAAAGUUUUAUAUUAAAUUGGUUCACCUAAUUUAACCUGUUAUUUAUAAUUCAGGUUAUGAAAUUAUAAUACCUAAUUCCCAAAUAACCAAAUAUGAUUAAGUUUUUCCAAUCAAACCCCUCUUUUUUUAAGAUGUAAAGUCUAGCAAAAUAAAUCAAAGACAAACAGAGUAAAAUUUCAAAAAAAAAGAGAAAGAUGGAAUAUCCCACCAAUAUUUAACCCACUUAAAUUGAGUCCAAAUCAUAAGAGCAUCUACAAAGGAUUGUUAAAUGAAAAGUUAAAAGUUAAAAAAAUAUAUAUUAUUUUGACUCUUUCAUGUUUAUUUUAUACACUUCAAAAAAAUAUUAAAUAACAUAUCAAAAUAUCUUUUCUUUCUUAUAAAUACUAUUUCUACAUAUCUAUAAAAAAAACCAAUACUAAAAAAGUAGGGUCAUCAAAAAAUAAACCAAUUAAAUAUAGUCAUAUGAAAAAAAAAACAUCAAACUCAUUAAAAAAAAUAAAACACUUUUUUCUCUCACUCUAGUACAAUUAGCUUUUCAAAUAGUUUUUUUCAUUAAAAUAUAUAUAAUAAAAAAAUUAUAUUUAUAUUAUUCAAAAUACUAUUUUAUCAAUUUAGCUAUUCAAAACAUUGUUAUUAAACCCGACCCGGCCAGGUAGAUCGACCGAGUGACUAGACCUGUCCGGGCUUGUCAAAAAACUGGUCAGUGCAAUAACCUGGCAAAACUCAAUUGACCUGACGAGUUGACCCAUGACCCGGGGGAACUUGGACGAGCCCUUUUUUUGUUUUUUAAAUGUGGUUUUUCUCCUAUCCCUUUUUUUUAUAUAUUUUUUAGUUGGUUAUUAAUAUUUUUUAAAAUUUACUAUAUAAAUAUUAGAAAAGUAUUUUAUUUUUUCAAUGUAAAAUUUGAAAUCCUUUAGUAUAUAUACUAUAUUUUGCCAAGAAAAAAAUUUAUUUUUUCAAUGUGAGAUUUGAAACCUUUUGUAGAUAUAUUUUAUGUUCACAAGGAAAAAAUUAUGUUUUUUCAAAAUAAAAUUUGAAACCCUUCAGUAUAUAUACUCUAUAUUCCCAAGAAAAAAGUUAUUUUUUCAAAAUGAGAUUUGAAACCCUUUAAUAUAUAUAAUAUGUGUUUUCAGAUCAUUUAGAUGUGUUGGUAUCAAAAAUAAUUUUUUAAGAAUAAAAAAAUAUUAUGCAACCAACUUGGGUUAACCCAUUAAGCAUUAUUCUCGUAUCAUGGUUCAGAAUAACCUAAUAGAAAAUAAAUAAAACAAAUCAUGAAGUGUGAACCCCGAUUGAAAAUUAGGCAGAAAAGUAAUCUAAAUGUUUAUACAAUAGAUUUAACAGAAGUACCAAAUAAGCAUUAGAACAAACCAAAUACAAGCAAAAGAAAAUAUAUAAGUAAAUGUGAAUAACAUAAUGUUGGAAGUGAGUUACCUAAAAAUAAAAUUAUCAAUAUGUAACUAAAUAAAAUUCAAAUUCACCCCGGUAAAUUUUUUAUAUAGACAAAUGCCAGGUUCAGAAAUUUUUUCCCGAGAACAUGAAAUUUACUAUUUGGAUAAUAGAGGGAAUUUGGUAAAAUUUAAGAGUGGGCGCGCGCUCGGGUGAGAAGAAAAAUGGAGAAAAAAAGAAAGAUGAGAAACUACCAUUUACAUGUGAGAGAGAUAGAAUUGUAAUGAAAACAUAAAAUUUUAAGGGAAGAUCUUGAGGGAACAUUAACCAAGCUUAGUGAGCAUUAAUUGGAAGAAAUAAAAAUCAUGUGAAGGUGAGUAUAAAUGGAGAGAGGAAGUUCCACCAAGUUAAAGAAGAGGAGGAGUUGAAAGUUUCAUUUGGGAAGUGUUUAGAGUUUAAUUGAAUUUUAAUGGCUUAAAGUUCUUAAUUGAUUGAAUUCUUGAAAUUAAAAAGUUAGGGUUCUUCAAUAAAUUUGGGGGAAAUAAAAAUUAAUUGUAAUUUGUCAUGGAAAAUAGUGUGAAAAUUAGAGUAAAGUAAUUAAGUUAUUGUAAUUGAAGUAAAGUAUUUGAUAAUUAAAUAGAGUUAGUGGCCGGCCAAAUGAUGAGAGAUUUUAGGGGAUUUAAUUGUGAAUAAAUGUUGUGAAUUGAUGAAUAAUAUAGUAAGUAGAACUAUUUUUUAAAUAUCUCUUUACAACUUUUUAAAUUUCAUGGAACACUUGUGUUGAUUCUUGAGAUUGUGUGAAAUAUUACUACCAUAAAAAUAAAAAAAGAAUUGAUGUCUAGAUGAGGAAUAUCAUUGAAUUGUUGGUCCCUAUUAGAUUUUGGUAUGUAAUGGAGUCAUGAGACGUUAAAAAUUCUUGAGAGAUGUUAAAUUAGUGGCUAAAAUUCAUAGAAUGGUCUAUUUUUUAGAAAUAUAUUUUACUAUGAAAUUUAUUUGAUAAAAGAAAAGUAGGAAAUUUAUGGUAUAUUUCCUUGACAAUGAGUACCCGAUUAAACAAUAUGUAUAUUCAAUUAAAACUUAUAGUAUAUUUCCUUGACAGCGAAAUAAAAAAAAGUAGGAACCCUGUAAUAUCUAGGUAAUUUCUAUGCCCUUUUAAUGAGUCCUACAAACCGAGGCUGUAAUGAGCCCAUGACAGAAGGAGAUAGGAAAGUGUAAUUUCAGAAGACCAUCACACAAAUCAACGGCUGAAAUCCAAUCACUCAAGGGAUGGUGACACGUCGCAUGAGUAGAGACAGCUAGUCUUUAGUACGAAAAGAAAAAGAUAAAUUAUUUUUACUCUUGAUUUGUUUGAUUUAAAUAAUAUUGAAUUAAAAUUAUAAUUAAAAAUAUUUAGCUAAAAUUAUGAUUAGAAUUGAACUACCACAAAAGAUACUGGUGAAGGUGGAGAGGAUGUGAGAGGCGAUUGGGAUCCAAAACAUCAACUGUUGUGGUCAAUUCUGGAGGACUAAACACUUCAGGCUCCUUUCCCGUCCUUUUCCUCGCUGGAUCCUUGAUAUCUUCUUCAAGGUGUGCAGGCGCCUUGUUCGAGGAUUGAGCAUAGAAAGACUAAAAAUAGUUAAAUAAAUACGAAAAGACAUAAGGUGAAGUUUUUAUAAUAUUCAUAGCAAUAGCCAUCACCUCAUUUAUAAUUUACUAGUUACAUGCCCCACGCGAUGUCGCGAGUCAAUUAUUUUUUGUAUUUUAAAAAUAGUCAAGAUCUAAAAGUGUUAGGUUUUUUUAUAAAGUUAUACCCAAAAGUCUCAGUUUUGGUUGCUUCGCCUGAUCCAAGAGUAAUGUUUAUAAUAUUAAUAAUAACAUUAAACUUGGGUUAACCCUUAGCAUAAAAGUGUCUGGACUACAAUAUCAGAUCCAAUAACAUUGGACGUGGGUCUGGCUGCAAGGUCGUGUCAUAAAAGUGUGAUAAUUAAAUAGAUUAAUUAAAAAAAACCAACAGGAAGAAAAAAACUAAUAAAAAAAAAGAAAAAAAAUGAAUUAAUUGGGUUAACCCUUCAAACCAGGUUAACCCGUCAUACCUUGAAUUCGCAUCAUGAAAGUUUGAUAAUUAAAAAAAAAAAAUUAAUGGGUUAACCCAGAAUUAACUGGGCUAACUCGUCAAAUCAGGUUAACCUAUCAAACCCGGAAUCCGUGUAAUGAAAGUUUGAUAACUAAAUAGAAAAAAAUUAACAUUAAUAAUUUAAAUUAAAUGAAAAAAAUUAAUUAAAAAAAAAACAAAAAGCAUCAGCCUUUUCACUGUGGACUGCACUAUGCAGUCCACAGUCAAAGGCAUAAAAAAUAAAGGCAUCAGCCAAAAACUACUUAGAAAAAAAUUUAAUAUUAAUAAACUAAAUUAAUUAAAUAAAAUUAAUUAAAAGAAAAAUAAAAGAAAAAAACCUCUAAGAAGAAAAAAAACUAAAUAGAAAGAAAUUUAACAUUAACAAACUAAACGAAACGAAAAAAAAAUUAAAAAAAAAUUCAGGUUAACUCGUCAAACCAAGUUAACCCGUUAAACCCGGGAUCCGUGUCAUGAAUGUCUGGUAACUAAAUAAAAAAAAGUGAACAUUAACAAACUAAACUAAACAAAAAAAAAUUAAUUAAAAAGAAAAAAAAUCUGGGUUAACUCGUCAAACAUACAUACCGUUAAACCCAGGAUCUGUGUCAUGAAAGUCUGAUAACUAAAUAAAAAAAAUUAACAUUAACAAACUAAAUUAAACAAAAACAUUUAUGAAAAUAAUAAUAAUAAAAAUUAACGGUCAACCCGGAAUUAACUGGGUUCACCCGUGAAACCAGGUUAACCUGUGAAACUCGGGAUAUGUGUCAUGAAAGUCUAAUAACUAAAUAGAAAGAAAUUUAACAUUAACAAACUAAACUAAACGAAAAAAUUAAUUAAAAUAAUAAAAAGCAAAAAAAAAAUCUAUUUUAACUUGUCAAACCAAGUUAACCCGUUAAAUCCGAUAAACGUGUCAUGAAAGUCUGACAACUAAAUAAAACAAUUAAACAUUAAUAAACUAAAUUAAACAAAAAAAAUUGUUAAAAAAAACAAAGGAAGAGGCAAAAAAAAAAUCCCAAAAAACAUAAAAAAAACUAAGACAACUUAAAAAAAAACACCUAAGGAAUCAGUGUUUUACUGUGGAAAUGAAAAAAUUAAUUAAAAAAAAAUCUGAGUUAACCCAUUAAACCUGGAAUGCGUGUUAUAAAAGUUUGAGAUAGAAAAAAAUUUAACAUUAAUAAAAAAUUUUAUUUUUAAAUAUCCAUUAAAAAAAAUGAAGAAAAAGAAAAGCAAAAAGUAAAAAAAAACAUCUGAAUUAAUUGGGUUAACCCUCAAACCAAGUUAAGCCGUCAAAACAGGGAUUCGCGUCAUGAAAGUUUGAUAACUGCAUAAAAAAAAAAAUUAACGGAUUAACCCAUAAUUAAUUUGGUUAACCUAUGAAACCAGAAAAAAAAUCUGGGUUGACCCGUUAAACCGGGAAUGCGUGUUAUAAAAGUUUGAGAUACAAAAUUUUUUAACAUUAACAAAGUUUUUUUUUUUUUAAAUAUCCAUUAAACAAAAAAAGAAAAAAAAAAAAAACAAAAAAAAAAACGAAAAAAAAGACAGCUCAGUUAAAAAAAAAAAAUGAAAAAAAAGACUUAAAAAAAAAAAAAAAAAAGGAUCGGUGUUUUACUGUGGACUGCACUGUGCAGUCCACAGUAAAACACAGAUCUCUUUUAGCUAUAUAUAUAUAAUAUAAUAUAAUAAUUUAUCUAUUUAUCAAUGAGUUAAAUGACCCGCGCGAUGCCGCGGGUCAAUUAUUUUUUACAUUUCAAAAAAAAAGUUAAGAUCUAAAAGUGUUAAGUCUUUCUACAAAGUUAUACCCAAGAGUUUUAGGUUUGGUUGCAACGUCUAACCCAAUAGUAACAUCUAUAAUAUUAAUAAUAACAUUAAACUUGCAUGACUCAAAUUUAAGUGGGUUUGACUGUAAUACCAAACCCAAUAGCAUUGGACGUGAGUAUGGUUGCAAGGUCGUACGAUAAAAGUGUGAUAAUUAAAUAGAUUAAUUAAAUACAAAAAAACAAAGAAAAAAUAACUAAUAAAGAAAAAGAAAAAAAAUGAAUUAACCCUUCAAACCAGGUUAACCCGUCAAACCUUAGAUUCGCGUCGGAAAAGUUUGAUAACUAAACAGGAAAAAAAAAAAUUAAGGGGUUAACCCAGAAUUAAUCGGGCUAACUCGUCAAACCAGGUUAACCCGUCAAACCCGGAAUCCGUGUCAUGAAAGUUUGAUAACUAAAUAGAAAAAAAUUUAACAUUAACAAUUUAAAUUAAACAAAAAAAAUUAAUUAAAAAAAAAACAAAAGGCAUCAGCCUUUUUAUUGUGGACUGCACUGUGCAGUCCAUAGUCAAAAGCAUAAAAAACAACAAAAAAAAGAAAAAGAAAAACUAAAGGCACCAGCCGAGAACUACAUAGAAAAAAAUUUAGUAUUAAUUAAAUAAAAUUAAUUAAAAAGAAAAAAAACCUCUAUGAAGUAAAAAAAAAUUAAAUAGAAAGAAAUUUAACAUUAACAAACUAAACUAAAUUAAAAAAAUAAUUAAAAAAAAGCAAAAAAAAAAUUCAGGUUAACUCGUCAUACCAGACUAACCCAUUAAACCUGGGAUCCUUGUCAUGAAUGUCUGAUAACUAAAUAAAAAAAGUGAACGUUAACAAACUGAACUAAAUGAAAAAAAAUAAUUAAAUAGAAAAAAUUUGGGUUAACUCAUCAAAUUAUGUUAACCCGUUAAACUCCGGAUCUGUGCCAUGAAAGUCUAAUAACUAAAUAAAAAAAAUUAACAUUAACAAUCUAAAUUAACCAAAAAAAAUUAUGAAAAUAAAAAAACAAAAAAAAUUGACGGGUCAACCUAGAAUUAACUGGGUUCACCUGUGAAACUCAGGAUAUGUGUCAUGAAAGUCAGAUAACUAAAUAGAAAGAAAUUUAAUAUUAACAGACUAAACAAAACAAAAAAAAGUAAUUAAAACGAUAAAAAAAAGCAAAAAAUAAAUUAUGAGUUAACUUGUCAAACCAGGUUAACCCGUUAAACUUAAAAAACGUUUUAUGAAAGUUUAAUAACUAAAUAAAAAAAAUUAAACAUUAAUAAAGUAAAUUAAACAAAAUUUGUUUUGUUAAAAGAUAAAAAAAGAGCAAAAAAAAAAUCCUGAAAUUCAUAAAAAACAAUUAAAAAAAUAACACAACUUAAAAAAAAAAAAAAACAAACCUAAGGCAUUAUGAUCAUUGUUUUACUGUGUAUUGCACUGUGCAGUCCCGUGAAGGCCCCAGUCAAACACUGAUCUGUUUUAGUAUAUUUUACAAAUAUAAUAAUUUAUCUACUUUAUCAAUGAAAAGUAAUAAAAGAAAACGAAGACAAGAAAUAAAGUGAAGUCUUCUUCCGCAUUAUUAGCACAUGUGAAAAGAAAGAUUGGCAUGUAAUAAAAGUUAUUCCAAUCAAACCCACUUUAUUAAAGUUGUUGCAAAUAAAGCAAGGACAGGCCGAGUAAAGUGGGGGACAUACACUAAUAAGUUAACUAGCUUUGAUACCCGUGCGAUGCCGCGGGUUAUUUUUUUUAUAUACAAAAUAUUUUAAAAAAUAAAAAUAUAAAAAUCUUGAGUUUUUCUACAAAGUUAUACCCAAGAAUCUUGAGUUUGACUGCAACGACUGAUCUAAGAGUAAUAUUUAUAAUAUUAAUAAUAAAAUUAAACUUGCAUGACUCAAGUUUAAUUGAGCCUGACUGUAACACUGGACCUAAAAAUAUUAGAUGUGGGUCUGACUAUAAGGUCGUGUCAUAAAAGUAUGAUAAUUAAAUAGAUUAAUUAAAAAAAAACAAAGAAAAAAAUCAACAAAAGGAAAAAACUAAUGAAGAAAAAGAAAAAAGAAAAAAGAAAUUAAAUUAAUUGGGUUAACCCUUUAAACCAGGUUAUCCCGUAAAACUUGAGAUUUGCAUCAUAAAAGUUUGAUAACUAAAUAGAAAAAAAAAUGACGGGUUUACCCAGAAUUAACCGGGUUAACCUAUCAAACCUAGUUAACCCGUCAAGCCUGCUAAAAAACAAAAUCAGACCCAAUAGCCUUGUAUGCGGAUCUGGCUGCAAUGUCAUGUAAUAAAAGUGUGAUAAUUAAAUAAAUUAAUUAAAAAGAAAAAAAACCAAUUGAAAGAAAAAAACUAAUGAAGAAAACGAGAAAAAAUCUGAAUUAACUGGGUUAACCCGUUAAACCUUGGAUUCGUGUCAUGAAAGUUUGGUAACUAAAUAGAAAAAAAAAUUGACGGGUUAACCCAGAAUUAACCGGACUAACCCGUCAAACCAGGUUACCUAUCAAACCUAGGAUCCGUGUCAUGAAAGUUUGAUAACUAAAUAGCAAACAAAUUGAACAUUAACAACCUAAACUAAACGAAAAAAAUUAAUUAAAAUUUUUUUUUUUUUAAAAAAAACAAAACAAAAGACAUAAGCCUGUUACUAAUGAGGAAAAAGAAAAAAAUCUGAAGCAACUCAGUUAACCCUUAAAAUUAGGUUAACCCGUCAAACCUGAGAUUCGCGUCAUGAAAGUUUGAUAACUAAAUAGGAAAAAAUAAUUGAUGGGCUAAACGAAAAAAAUUAACAAACUAAACUAAAUGAAAAAAUUUGAUUAAAAAGGAAAAAAACAAAAAAAAAUUGGGUUAACUCAUCUAAUUAAGUUAACCCAUCAAACCCGAGAUCCGUGUCAUGAAAGUACGAUAACUAAAUAAUUUUUUUUUUCCACAUUAACAAACUAAAUUAAACAAAAAAAAAUUCAUUAAAAGAAAAAAAACACAAAGAAAAAACUAAAAUAAAAAACUCAUAGGCAUAAAAAAAGAAGGGAAAAAGAUCUGAAAAAAAAAAAAAAAAACAAACAAACACUUUAGCUACAGUAUUUUACCUACGCGUUUUAGUAUAUUAAUAUUAAUAAUAAUAAUAAUAACACUAAUUUGAGAUAUUUUUUUUACUUUGGAGUUUACAGGCAAAUAAAGUGAUGGAAGAAAAAGUCUUCUUCUGCAUGAUCACAUGAUGCGAAAAGCUUGGCAUUUGCUGAAGUUUUUCCAAUCAAACCCACUUUUUUCAAAGAUGGAAUUUCUCGGAAAAUAAAUCAAAGACAAGCCGAGUAAAAUGGAGUUCAGUGUUCUAUAUAUUUCUCAAGGGGAAAAAAAUAACGUCGUUUUCUUUUCUAUACAACUGUUUUGUUAGAGAUCUUAGCCGAUGCAUCUGAAUUAUAAUUUUUAGCAAUUAUAAUAUUUUAUAGCGCUAAUAUCUUACAAAAACAUAUUUUCUAGCUUUUUUUUUUUUUAUAGUAUGAUCAAAUAUUAAAAAAUAUUUUUCAACUCAUUAUCUUUAAUACAAUUAAAUUUCAUAGAAUUGUCUAUUUUUUUGAAAUAUAGUUUACUAUGAGAUUUAUUUGAUAAAAGAAAUUCACUUUGUAACAAUACACUAGAAAAAAAGAAGAAGAAGCUAAUGAUCAUUUAAACAUAUAGUCUCGCCAGAGAGACUAUAUUGGAAUCAUCUUGCUCAACAUGUCGAAUGAUGCAAGCGGAAGCAUAAUAAAACAACAAUAAACACAGACAAAAUAGAAAAUAAAGUUGAAUUAGGGUUAAACAUAAAAAAUCCUAUAACCUUAUUAUAUGUUUGAGUUGGCUUUUUAAAGAGGUUUACGAUGUUUUUUAUAACCUAAAAAAAACUGAUUACGCUAGAAAAUAAAAUUAAAAUCCCUAAAUAUAAAAGAAAAUAGCAUAAAACCAAAAACAAACAAUAAAUCUAAAAAUAUAUAAGAAAAAUAAUAAAUAUGAUCAAACAAACAACUUCAAAACCCGAAUCAUGCAAGUUAUAUAAUGAACAUAGUGGCUUCCCAUUAGAAAAAUACACAAGUUAUAUAUAUAUAUAUAUAUAUAUAUUAUAAUUAAAUUUAAAAAUUAUAACAAAUUAUUCCUGUUUUUAUUUUUUAACUUAAGGAUGAACAAUCUUGAAAAUGUGAGGAUGUUUAUUAAGGACUUGAGAUUGUUAACGUUGCAUCAACAGCCGGCUGAUCUUGUCAAUUCUGCUUAGACAAAAGGGUGUUGGCAAGUGCUUUCAAACGAUGUCAAGGAAAAAAUAAAUUUAAAGGAUAAAUUUUUUUUAAAAUCAAAACAAAAUAUAUAAAAUUAAAAGAUUGAAGAACAGAUUUUAUAUAAUCAAUAAAUAAUUUAAUAUAUUUUUUUAUUUUUUUACAACUUUUGAAAAAUAUAUUUGACUCAAAAUAAUAAAAAAUAUUUUUAUGAAAACAAGUCAAACAUUUUUUUAAUUUAGAAGUUUUUUUUAUUAAAUAAAUUUUUCAACGACAAACAAAUAUAAAAAAAGAAUUAAAAAAUGAUUUAUCAGAAAACCACAAACAAACUGUGCCUAGACUUCUUUAAUUUAGAAUUGCAAAUGUAUUUUGUUUGCAGUUUCUUCGUCUCUCUACCCUCCAAUCGAGGAUUUGACAACGACAUUGCAUGAUUUCUCUCUGGUCUAUGAACCAUUAAACAACAAUCACUCGAAACCCACGUACAGUCCCUGCCAUCCUCUCUUUCCAUUAAAAUGGAAGUCGCUGCAUGUGUUGCAUGUUCUCAUUAAGUCAAUAUGUGCAUGCAUGAUUAAUUAUGCACUUUGUAACCAUAAAUCUUCCUUUAAUCAUUCCAAAAAAGAAAAAAAUAGAAAAGAUUUUCUCUGAUCUGUUUGGUGAGUCCCAAUUAUCACUGGCUUUCAAUUUCCAUCCCGUCCUUUCUAGCUGGAUUGCGUGUUUUUUCUCUUCUUUUCUUUUUUGCUGGAAUACAAUAAUGCAUCACAAUGGUUAAUUCCAUGGUAAUUUCUUUAAUCAUUUAUAUACAUAAAUUUGGUUACAGAGGAGAAUGACACUUCCACCUCUAUAUUCAAAUAUUUAUUAAAAAUAUAGUUUAAUUGAUUAGGUUCUGAAUUUGUUUUUUAAAGGUUAAUAAUUCAAGUUUUAUAAACCUCAUAGUUAUUAAAGACUUACAUGAUCAUUAGCUUAGGACCUACGAAAUUAGUUGAAGUACGCACAAACUAGUCAAGAAAUCCAUGUUAAUUUUUAAAAAAAAAGUUUUGUAUUUUUAUUCAUUUUUAUUUAUAUAGUAUCUUUGAAAACAAAACAUCAAAUAUAACAUUGAUGGUUCAGAAAUAAUUCCAAAUUUCGAAGUAUACCAAAUAAUUACUUCCAAUCCACCCCAUUCAUAGAUCGUGUUAAAAACCAUGCUGUAUAUAUUUGAGGGGUGCAAGCGCCUUGUUUGAGGAUUGAGCAUAAAAGACUAAAAGAGUUAAAUAAAUACUAAAAGACAUAAAGUGAAGUUCUUAUAAUAUUCAUGGCAAUGGUCAUCAGCUCAUUUAUAAUUUAUUUAUAUACUUUAUCAAUGAAAUAAAAGUAAUAAAAGAAAAGGAGAGAAGAAAUAAAGUGAAGUCUUCUUCCGCAUUAUUAGCACAUCACGUGAAAACAAAGAUCGGCAUAUGAUAAAACCCAUUCUUUUCAAAGAGCAUAACAAGGGCCGAGAGAGACAAGGCUUUUGCGAGUUCUGUAUAUUUUUCUGUGGUGGUCCCAGCUAUUAUGUUGCUGACACUGGAUAGAGAGACUUCAACCACCAAUCAAAUUAUUUUUAUUGACCUUUUGUGCUGUUCGUCACUUUCCUUCGCUCCUUCUCUCUUUGCUGUCAAAUUUCAAAAACCUUAGCUAUUAGAAUAGUUGAGUGUUUGUUUUUGUAUUUUAAAAGAGUUUUUAAGAAUUUUAAAUGUUUUUAUUUUAAAUCAAUUUUUUAAUUGACUCCAUAAUAGAAAAGAUGCCAUCCCCCUAAUACAAAACUCUAAAAAAAAACAAUGAUCGUGCCACCACCGGUGGUUGUGCUGUUUUAUGACAUCACAAGCCAUAUAAGUAGCUGAUUAGAAUGAUUUUGUAUGGGACCCAGUUGUGACAUCAGCUGUUUUUGUGUUUUCUCUUUCAAUCAUAGCUAAAGACUAGGCAUGGCAUGAUAAUCGAUGGAUGGGGGUAGGGAUAAUGGGAGCCACAUGAUCCAUUUCGUGGUUGUUUCUUUCUUCUAUAAAGAAGAUCAUGCCAUCACGGAUCUUACGGGAUUGAUAUCUUGCCCGGUGUUGAUUUACUACAAUGGCUGCACGUGAACCCGUCCUCCAGGACAACUCCCAACAAGUGUCUGUCUAUCACUCUCAAAUUAAUUUGAUAUUUCUGUUCCAGUGCCUCCAUAGAAGAGUAUAGGUGUUAAUCAUUUUUUAUUUUUAUAUUUUAAAAGUUUUUUUUAAUAAUUUUUAUUUUUUACUUUAGAUUUUUUUUUGAUAUUUUUAGAUAUUUUGAUAUAAAAAUAUCAAAAAUAAUUUUUUUAAAAUAAGAAAAUAUUAUUUUAAUAUUUUUCCAAAUAAAAAACAUUUUAAAAAACAACAACAAUCAUAUUUUUAAACAACUCCUAAACCUUUCCCAUUUUUUUUGAGAUUAUAGUACCGAUGUUAUUUUAAUAUUUAAAAAAAAAAUCUUAAUUUUUUUAAAAUUAAAUUAAGCUUUUCUUUGAGUUCAAACAAAUCAAUGAGGAAGGUUGGUUAUUUGUCCUGCCGCACCAUCCUAAAAUGUAAUGUAAUAACCAAUGUAAUUUGAUGUUUGUGUUUCAUGGGUUCGUGUUGUUGAUGCGUGCUAUUGUACUUUCUAGGUGAUAAGGAAAAAAUUAUUUAUUUUGUCAAAUAAUUUAUAUUUUUUUAUAUUUAGCUUUGUUUGUAAUUGCAUUUCCAAUGUUAAUUUAUAUAGGCCUUGAAUUGGUACCUUUUUAUCAGUUUGAGCGUAAUUACCACCAACUUUCUGUAGGAUGAUAUGGGUAUUUUAGAUAGUGUAGCAUGAUCUUUACCUGUUACGUUUUUUUUUUAUAGGAUAAUUAUUCUCUCUUUUUAUGUUUAUUUAACUUAAGGAUAAUCAGUCUCGAAAAUGCGAGGAUGUUUAUCAAAGAGCAGAGAUUGUCACGCUGCAUUAACAACCAACUGUUGUAGUCAAUUCUGGUAGGCUAAAAGUCAUCCACUUGAUUGAUUAAUGGACAUUAGCUGUUUAGCACUCCAUGGUACUUCAGGCUCCUUUCCUACCCUUUUCCUCGCAAGUGACUUGUUAAUUUGCUUUAUUAGUAUCGGUAAUUUUGUGCAGAACUGUUAUUAUUCUUUGAAAUCAGGCACGGUUCGAGGAUUCAGCAUAAAAGAAUUUGGGUAUAUUAAUUAAAGCUAAAUUUAUUUUUUUUAAUCUCAACACAAAAAAAAUUGAAACAGACAUGUUUUUAUGUACUUUAUAUCUUGAAAAUACAAGAAUCCGUCUAAAUUAAUACAUAUUUAUUUUAUAUCUUUGUUUUCAUCUCCUUGAGCAAACGUGUUUUUAUCAUUUCAAUGUCUAUCGUUUUUAUUUAGUAAUAUUUAACCAAAGGCCACCUUAAAGAUUCAUGCAUGAAACAUCCAUUUCCUAAUCAAGUACUAGGCCAAUUCUUUCAAGUUUAUAUGUUAGACUUACAAUAAAACACUAUGUUAUGUUUGGUAACCAGUAUAAGCAUCAACAAAGUUAAAUAAAAGGAUCAAACCCAAACACAUUAGUGUAAAACAAGGAUCCAAUUAUCAUCGAGCCUAUUUUAACUUAAUCUCAACAAUCGUGUCACUAGUUAUUAAUUAUAACCCAUAUCUUGCACCAGAAAAAAGAAGUUACCAUAACCAAAGCACAUGCGUCUCAUAUAAUUUGAUUACUUGAAAUAUGUCUUUGAGGUAUAAUGACAUCGAAUAGACAAGGUAAUUGAAUUAAAUUAUAGGUCUUUUACCGAUAUUUUAUUAAAAUAAUAUUUGUUUAUUUUUUUAAAAUAAAAUAAAUCUUUUUUAUGCUGAUUUAACUAGGUUUAGAUCAGGUUUUGUCUAAUAAUAAAAUCAUUAAAAAUCUAGUAAGGUAAACAUAGUUUCAUUGCAUCAAUGCUUUUCUAAUUUAAUUUUAAAUUUGAUCAUGUCAAGAUUUGAAUUUUAUAGCUUCCAAUAGCAAAUCAAAUCACGGACAUAAUUAAAAAAUGAUACUAUAAAUAAAUAAAAAAGAUUUUGGAAUAAAAUGAUCCACAUAUAUAUAUAUAUAUAUAACAAGGUAAAGGGUCAAACGGUGGAAGAUAAAAACCAAUAAUGUCUCAUAAUAAUUUCAUUUAUUGUGAAGAGUUACUAUAUUGAUUGUUUUUAUAUUUUUUUUUAAAAUCACAUCCAUUUAUCUAAAAUUACUAGUCUUUAAAUAAUAAAAUAAUUUUUUAUAUAUAAUUUGCUCUACAGAUCACAGUUAUUAAACCCGGCCCGGCCCGGCGAGUCGACCCGGUGCUGGACCGGUUCGGGUUUAAUAAAAGACCGGUUGUGGCAACAGCCCGGCCAGACCCAGGCGACCCGGGCAAACCCGGACGAGACCCGAGUUUUUUUUUUUUUUUUUUAAUUUGGGAUAAAAAAAAAUUUGGUUUAAAUAUUUCAACUUAAAAUGAUAACAUAGUAUCUUUUCAAUGUGGGGUUUGAAGCCCUUUCAUAUAUAUACUUUAUGUUCACAUGAAAAAAAUUAUAUUUUUUCAAUGUGGGAUUUAAAACCCAUUAGUAUAUAUACUUUAUGUUCCCAAGGAAAAAAUCAUGUUUUUUCAAUGUGGGAUAAAAAACCUUUUAGUUUAAAUACUUCAACUUAAAGGGAUAACAUAGUAUCUUUUCAAUGUGGGAUUUGAAGCCCUUUCAUAUAUAUACUCUAUGUUCCCAUGAAAAAAGUUAUGUUUUUUCAAUGUGGGAUUUGAAACCCAUUAGUAUAUAUACUCUAUGUUCCCAAGGAAAAAAUCAUGCUUUUUCAAUGUGUGAUAAAAAUCCUUUUGGUUUAAAUACUUCAACUUAAAGGGAUAACAUAGUAUCUUUUCAAUGUGGGAUUUGAAGCCCUUUCAUAUAUAUACUCUAUGUUCCCAUAAAAAAAGUGAUGUUUUUUAAACUAAAAUGUUUUUUAUCCCACAUUGAAAAAACAUGAUUUUUUUUCUUUAGGAAUAUAGAGUAUAUAUACUAAUGGGUUUCAAAUCCCACAUCGAAAAAACAUAUGAAAAGUUUUUUGAGUUAGACAAAUACUAAGCAACAUUCUAGCAUGUGCAAUGAAGUUUUUACAAUAUUCGUAGUAACGGUCACCAGCUAAUUUAUAAUUUAUAAAUCUACUUUAUCAAUGAAAAGUGAUAGAAGCAUAGUUAUUAAACCCGAUCCGAAAGCCGGAUUUCAGAUUUCAUGGAUCAACUCGGAUUAACCUAAAAAAAUUAAAAAUACAUAUUUAAAGUUUUAAUAUUUCAUAUAUAAAAAUUAAGAAAAAAUUAAACUCAUGUAAAUAUAGGCUAUACUUAUUGUAAAUAAUGAAGUUUAAAAAAUAUAUUUUAAUUUUUUUUUAUCAUACAUUAAAAAGAUACUAUAUUAACCUUUUAAGUUGAAGUAUUUAAAUCAAAAACGUUUUUUAUCUCAUAUUGAAAAAAUAACUUUUUUCUUUGGAACAUACAAUAUAUAUAUUAAUAGGUUUCAAAUCUCACAAUAAAAAACAUAAUUUUUUUCUUGGAAACAUAUAUAUAUAUAUAUAUAUAUAUAUAUAUAUAUAUAUAUAUAUAAAAGGACUUUAAAUUCUACAUUAAAAAAAUAUUAUAUUAUCCUUUUAAGUUAAAGUAUUUAAACUAAAAAAUAUUUUAAAUUGAUCUGCUGAUAUGGUAAAAUCCAGAGAUUUCUUGGAAAAUAAAUGAAAGACAAACAGAGUAAAAUGGAGUCCAGAGCAUACAAGAGCCGAGAUUGAAACAGGAAAUGCAAGAAAAAAAAGAUGGGCCCUUGUUUUCUCUUUUUUAUGGCCGGCGACUGGAUAUAAAAAGGGAGGAGAUGAAGUGCCCGUUUGGUAACGUGGCUGCGGGUGAGGUUCACCCGCAGCUACGCCAAAUGCCGUUUGGUUAACAAGAAAAAAUUGCUUUUUUGAUAGUGGAACACAUGAAAUUUUCAGACGCGCCACAUGUUUUGGAGAAGCAGCAAAAUGCUGCUUCUCAUAGUAUAGAAAAGCAGAACAGUGGAGCCAUGCUCCACUGUUACAGUUUUAGUUUUUUUUUUUUUUGAAAAACAUUGCGAGAAGUUAAUUUUUUUUUUCUUGAAAAAUUAUUUCAAUUAAUUGAUUUUACUCGCAUUGUGAACGUGAACAUGAACAAUAUUAUUUUUUAAAAAAAUUAGUUUAAGGUGAAUUAAAUUUACUCGUAUUGUAAUAUCAAUUUUAUUCCUGAUAAUAUUUUAUUUAAUUUUAUUGCACGCUCAAAAAAUUAUUUUUUCUGUAGUUCUUGUCAAAUGAAUUUUAUACAUAAUAAAAUUGUAAUUUUUUUAAAAAAAUUUUGUUUUACUUGAAAAACUACUAUUUAAUAUUAUUUAAUAACACAUCAUAUAAAAAGAAAUUCAGUUUUUAUUUUUAUUUUAAUUGUGUUUUAUUCAAAAACUUAAAAGGAGAUCGCUCAAUGACGUAACAAAAAAUUCAGUUUUUUGUUGUUGCGCGCUUAAGAAACCAUGAAAAAUAUAGUCCUUGUUAGAUAGAUUUCGUAUGUAAUGACAUUGCACAUAGUUUAAUGGAAGAAUAAAAAAUAUUUGAUAUCAAUAUUAUUUAUUUCAUGAUAUAAUAACAGUGGUUAAAUCUACAAUAUUUAAAUUAAAAAUCAUUAAUAUAUAAAUUUUUUAAUUAUUUUAUAACCUCAAUUUGAAAAGUAUUUUUUUACCAGACACAUUAAACUACUUUUUAUUCAAUUUCAACCACAGUUUUAACUAAACAUAUAUUUUUUCAAACCAACCUUAACUAAAAAUACUUUUUAUAAAAUAACUUUUUUAAAAUAAUAACCACAAUAACAACCUCAAUACCAAACAGACCCGAAGCUUUCAAAUUAUUUACAAUUUUGCGGUCACUUAUUGUGUCCAUGUCGUUUUGUGUAAUUGCCCAGCUACCGGUACUAUUUUAACACUGUUAAAAGUCUAAAUUAUCAAUAUUUCCCCAAUUUAUCUCUAAAAAAAAUUCACUUCAAUUAAUAGCAUUUUUUUUUAUUUCUUUUGUCAAUGUUUACCUCUUUUUGAUAAACUUGUAUAUUUUUGUACCAGAGGUCUAAAAUUAUUGUGUCCACUUAUUACUUAUUUAAAUUCAUUAGAAUGUUUUAAAUAACUUUUUUAAAUUUUAAUCCCAGAGUUUACAUGCGUAAUACAUGAGUUAUAUAAAUUAUGAUUCAAAAUAUUGUUAUAACUAAAUUAAAAAAAAAAUACAAAUGAUCAAACCAUUGAUGCUGGUGAUGCUCUCGUCUCCAGAAUGGUCCGCUUGUACUUGGCUGAUGGAGCUGAGGGAAAGCCAAUGGCUACAAAGUGCGAAUGUGAUUUUCGCGAAAUGAAUUAGGGCAAGCAAAUUUUGUUCUCCGUCAUUUUGUAAAUUCUCGCAGCUGCUUGUUAGACGCCAUAAAUAGUCUAAGCUUGUUGUUGAGAUUUUUUAUUUUCUGUAUAUGAAUUUAGAGUUAAUUUCUUGAAUAUUAAGUUUUCUGAUUUUUCUAUAUAAUUAAUUUUUUAAUUUGAUUUGAUUAGUAUUAUCGUACAUUUCUCAUUCUAAAAAAAAAAAAAUACCAGAAGAAUAUUUUCUUUCUAUUGAAAACAUUUGUGGUUAGAACAAAGUAAUUUUUACUGGAGUGUCGUUUUGGGAUGCAGCAUGAACUUUACCUGUCUAAUUUGUACGGCGUGAGAAGAUGUUGCUUUCCAUGGCUUCUCCUUAAAAAAAUUCCAUCACAUUUGACAAUUUUGUUAUAAAAACAAAAGAUAUAUCUUUUAAAGAAGAGAAGUGAUACCUAAAAUUUAUAAAUGAUCUAAACUCUUAAUUUUUAAUCGAUGAUCAUGUUACUGAAAAAACGUACUACGCUUGGAGGACAUAGAGAACGUCCUACGCUUUCAUUCGAGUUUAGCGCACACGAGAAACCUGAAUUCUUUAUAAGAAGCUUGGUAUAAAUAUAUUUCUUCUUAGACAUUAAUUAUUCAUGCAAUUGAAGUUGAGUUUGGGUUAGGUUUUGGAUAGGGCAUGGUAAUAUCUAACCUGAUCUGAAACUUGAUUUUUUAUCUUCAAGUUUUACAUCAAAUCAACUUGAAUUAAAAAAUUUCUUAAUUAUUUGAAUAAGUUCAAGACAAUAUCCAUAGAAUUCAAGUGAAAUCGGCCCGAGGAGGAUAUACAAGUAGACUUCUAGUUUUCUCAAAUAUUUUAAUUUUAAUGAUUGGACAAGAGAGCAAAAAUACCAUAUUAAUAUUUUUUUUCUUUUUAUGAAAAUAAAACAUAUCUUUUCUCACUAGCACAUAUUCAUCCCAACUUGAAAAUACAUUUUUAAUAACGUGAUUAUACGAUGAGGUCCCCACUUGUCAGGUAAAGCUUCGGCACCUCCUUCAAUCCUAGUUUGGGAAACAGAAGCACUCUAUCACCAUUAGUUUUCCCCGAGGAAGACAGCACCCCGAUUCCCUCCUCCUGUGCUGAUGAUGGGGCAUGAGAGAGAGUCCAUACGAGUUCAAAAUAAAAUUAUUAAUAUAUAAUUAAAUAAAAUUAAAAUUCACCUAGGUAAAAUUUUUAUAUAGACAAAUGCCAGGAUACAAAAAUUUUAUCCCGGGAACAUGAAAUUUACUAUUUGGAAUAUAGAGGGAAUUUAGUAAAAUUUUAGCGUAUGUGUGCGUGCUCCAGUAAAAAGAAAAAGAAGAAAAGAAAAAGAAGGAAACUAUCAUUUACAUAUGAGAGAGAUAAAAUUGUAACGAAAACAUAAAAUCUUAAGGGAAGAUCUUGAGGGAAAGUAACUAAGCUUUGUGAGCAUUAAUUGGAAGGAAUAAAAAUUAAAUGAAGGUGAGUAGAAAAGAAGAGAGGAAGUUCAACCAAGAUUGAAGAAGAGGAGGAGUUGAAAGCUUGAUUUGGAAAGUGUUUAGAGUUUAAUUACUUGCUUGGUAAUGCAUUCUAAAGACAUUUGAUCUAAAUUUUAAUUGCUUAAAGUUCUUAAUUGGUUGAAUUUUUGAAAUUAAAAAGUUAGGGCUCUUGAAUAAAUUUGAGAAAAAUAAAAAUUUAUUUUAAUUUGUCAUGGGAAAUAAUAUGAAAAUUAGAGUAAAGUGAUUAAAUUAUUAUAAUUAAAGUAAAAAUUUUGAUAAUUAAAUAGAGCUAGUGGCCGGCUAAUGAUGAGAGAUUUUAGAGGAUUUAAUUGUGAAUAAAUAUUGUGAAUUGAUGAACAAUAUAGUAAGUAGAACUGUUUUUUGAAUAUCUCUUUAUAACUUUUUAAAUUUUAUGGAACACUUGUGUUGAUUCUUGAGAUUGUGUGAAAUAUUACUACCAUGAAAAUAAAAAAAGGAAUUGAUGUCUAGAUAAGAAAUAUCAUUGAGUUGUUGGUUAAAAUCCAUAAAACGGUCUAAUUUUUAGAAAUAUAGUUUACUAUGAAAUUUAUUUGAUAAAAGAAAAGUAGGAACUUUAUGGUAUAUUUCCUUGACAAUGAGUACCCGAUUAAACAAUAUUUAUAUUAAAUUAAAACUUAUGGUAUGUAUCCUUGACAGCGAAAUAAAGAAAAGUAGGAACCUUGUAAUAUCUAGGUAAUUUUUAUGCCCUUUUAAGGAGCCCUACAAACUGAGGCUAUAAUGAGCCCAUGACAGAGGGAGACAGAAAAGCAUAAUUUCAGAAGACCAUGACACAAAUCAACAGCUGAAAUCCAAUCACUUAAGGGAUGGUGACAUGUCGCAUGAGUGGAGACAACUGGUCUUCAGUACAAAAAGAAACAAAGCGUUUUCAUUGUUUAAUUUGUUUUUUGAAGUGUCUUUGUUCUCGUGAUUGCUCUUGUGGUGAUGGAGACUUUAAAAAGAUAGUUUAUAAAAAUUAUUUUCACUCGUGAUUUGUUUGAUUUAAAUAAAUAUUUAAUUAAAAAUGUUUAACUAAAAUUAUGAUUAAAAUGGAUGUUUUAACUUAAAUUACCACAAAAGACACUGGUAAAGGGGGAGAUGAUGUGAGAGACGAUUGGGUAUUUUAUUUAAUUGUCAAAACAUUAACUGUUGUGGUCAAUUCUGGUGGACUAAAAGCCAUCUACUUGAUUAAUGGCCCUUUUCCUCGCUGGAUCCUUGAUAUUUUCAAGGGGUGCAAGCGCCUUGUUCGAGGAUUGAGCAUAAAAAGAUUAAAAAGAGUUAAAUUGAAAUAUAACUAAAACGGAUGAGUGUUUUAUUUUUAAGUGGUCAAUUCCUAUUGUUUUACGUGUUUUUUUUAAAAAAAAUUUUGCUUUUUUUUUUAAGUUUUUUUUUUUUUUUUUAAUUGAGCUGUUUUUUUUUUUUACUUUUUGCUUUUUUUUUUCUUUGUUUUUGUUUAAUGGAUAUUUUAAAAAAACAAAAUUGUUAAUAUUAAAUUUUUUUGUAUCUCAAACUUUUAUAACACGCAUUCUGAGUUUAACGGGUUAACUCAAAUUUUUUUUUCCUGGUUUCAUAGGUUAACCAAAUUAAUUAUGGGUUAACCCGUCAAUUUUGUUUCUAUACAGUUAUCAAACUUUCAUGACGCGAAUCCCUGGUUUGACGGGUUAACUUGGUUUGAGGAUUAACCCAAUUAAUUCGAUUUUUUUUUUAUUUUUUGCUUUUCUUUUUCUUCAUUUUUUCUUUGUUUUUUUUAAUGGAUAUUUUAAAAAUAAUUUUUUUUAUUAAUAUUAAAUUUUUUUCUAUCUCAAACUUUUAUAGCACGCAUUCCAGGUUUAAUUGGUUACCUCAGAUUUUUUUUUUUGGUUUUUCUUUUUAAUUAAAAUUUUCAUUUUCACAAUAAAACACUGAUUCCUUAGGCCUUUUUUUUUUUAAAUUGUCUUAGUUUUUUUAGUUGUUUUUUUUAUGUUUUUUGGGAAUUUUUUUUGCUUCUUCCUUUGUUUUUUUUUUAACAAAAUUUUUUUGUUUAAUUUAGUUUAUUAAUGUUUAUUUUUUUUUUUUGUCAGACUUUCAUGAUACGUUUACCGGAUUUAACGGGUUAACUUGGUUUGACAAGUUAAAAUAUUUUUUUUUUUGCUUUUUAUUCUUUUUAAUUAAUUUUUUUUUUGUUUAGUUUAGUUUGUUAAUGUUAAAUGUCUUUCUAUUUAGUUAUUAAACUUUCAUGACACAUAUCCUGAGUUUCACGGGUUAACCUGGUUUCACGGGUGAACCCAGUUAAUUCCGGAUUGACCCGUCAAUUUUUUUUUUUUCAUAAAUGUUUUAGUUUAAUUUAGUUUGUUAAUGUUAAUUUUUUUUUUAUUUAGUUAUCAGACUCUCAUGACACAGAUCCUGGGUUUUACGGGUUAGCAUGGUUUGACGUGGUAACCCCUGUUUUUUUUUCUUUUUAAUUAAUUUUUUUUUGUUUAGUUUAGUUUGUUAAUGUUCACUUUUUUUUUAUUUAGUUACCAGACAUUCAUGACACGGAUCCUGAGUUUAACGGGUUAACUUGGUUUGACGAGUUAACCUGAUUUUUUUUUUAAUUAUUUUUUUCGUUUCGUUUAGUUUCUAUUUAGUAUUUUUUUCUUCUUAGAGGUUUUUUUCUUUUAUGUUUUCUUUUUAAUUAAUUUAGUUUAUUAAUAUUAAAUUUUUUUCUAAUUAGUUUUUGGCUGAUGCCUUUAGUUUUUUUUUAUGCCUUUGACUGUGGACUGCACUGUGCAGUCCACAGUGAAAAGGCUGAUGCCUUUUGUUUUUUUUUUUAAUUAAUUUUUUUUGUUUAAUUUAAAUUGCUAAUGUUAAUUUUUUUUCUAUUUAGUUAUCAAACUUUCAUUACACGGAUUCCGGGUUUGACAGGUUAACUUGGUUUGACGAGUUAGCCCAGUUAAUUCUGGGUUAACCCAUUAAUUUGUUUUUUUUUUUAAUUAUCAAAUUUUAAUGAUGCGAAUUCAAGGUAUGACGGGUUAACCUGGUUUGAAGGGUUAACCCAAUUAAUUCAUUUUUUUUCAUUAGUUUUUUUCUUCUUGUUGGUUUUUUUUAACUACUCUAUUUAAUUAUCACACUUUUUUAACACGACCUUGCAGUCAGACCCACGUCCAAUGCUAUUGGAUCUGGUAUUGUAGUGCAGACACUUUUAUGCUAAUGGUUAACCCAAGUUUAAUGUUAUUAUUAAUAUUAUAAACAUUACUCUUGGAUCAGGCGAUGCAACCAAAACUGAGACUUUUGGGUAUAACCUUACAAAAAAACCUAACACUUUUAGAUCUUGGUUAUUUUUAAAAUGCAAAAAAUAAUUGACCCGCGGUAUCGCGCGGGGCAUGUAACUAAUACUAAAAGACAUAAAGUGAAGUUUUUUCAGCUCAUUUAUAAUUCAUAAUUUAUUUAUCAAUGAAUGAAAAGUAAUAAAAGAAAAGUGAUAAAAGAAGAAGAGAGAAGAAAUAAAGUGAAUUACCAUCUUAGGAUCUCUUGGCAAAUAAAGCAAGUAAAAUUAAUAAAAUGUGGGACCUAACUCCAAUUUCCUAGCACCCGCAACCCACGCAUACACAAACCCGUACUUUAUCAAUGAAGGAAAAGUGAUAAAAGAAGAAAAGAGAAGAAAUAAAGUGAAGUCUUCUUCUGCAUUAUUAGCACACCACGUGAAAAUAAAGACUGGCAUAUAAUAAAAGUUAUUCCAAUCAAACCCAUUUUUUCGACGAUGGGAUCUCUUGGCAAAUAAAGCGAGGACAACCGAGUAAAAUGGGGGACAUAACUCGUUUUUCCUGGCACACGCAACUCACGCAUACACUAACACUAAUUUGAGAUAUUUUUUUUUACUUUGGAGUUUACAGGCAAAUAAAGUGAGGAAGAACAUCUUCUUCUGCAUCAUCGCAUCACGUGAAAAGCUUGGCAUUUAAUGAAGUUUUUCCAAUCAAACCCACUCUUUUCAAAGAUGAAAUUUCUAGGAAAAUAAAUCAAAGACAAAACCGAGUAAAAUGGAAUUCCCGGCAUAAUGAUUAUUUUUUAAUAUAUUUUUUAUUUUUAAAAAAAUUAAAUAAUAUUUUUUUAUUUUUAAAAAUUAUUUUCAAUAUCAACACAUCAAAAUUAAAAUGAUUUAAAAAUAUUAAAAAUAUAUUCAUUUAAAAUAAAAAAAAUUUAAUUUUUUUUAAAAAUACUUUCCACCAAAAACAUAUUAGUCAAUAUCUGCAUGAUUAAUUAUGCACUUUGCAACCAUAAAUCUUCCUUUAAUCAUAAGAAUAUCUGCUGUUCAUAACGAGUCAUUCAAGUAUGAUUAUUUACUUAAAUAAUUAAUUAUGUUUAAUUAGAUCUAUCCAUAAGUUUGCAAUUGAGCUAAUUGUUCUAUAAUUACUGUAGCUAUGAAAGGUCAAGCACAAUUUCAUCCAAAACAAAACUCGUUAUUUUCAAAAAGAAAAAAUACCCCAAUUUUUUUCUUAUAUUUUAGUAUUUUUUAUAUUUAAAGGCAGUAUAGUUGUAAUAUUUUCAAGUAAUCGAAACAACCACCUAUGCAUCAAUUAUAUGAUAUACUGACUUGACUUUCCCAAGUGUUUUGAGUUUUGAGUACUAGAAGAAGAAAAUAUACUUCUCUCUAAAAAAUAAGGAAAUUUCAGAUGUAUUUUCUUUUAACUGGCGAAAAAACAGGAAGACGAAGAAAGGAAUAUUUUAUUUCUUCUAGGAGUAUGGUUAGCACGAGAGAAAAGAAAAGGGAAAGGCCUAUCGACUCUUUUUUUUUCCAUGUUCACGGGUAGUACGGAUCGCUUACCAUGAAAGCUAAUGGAAAUGCUCUUUCUCCAUGAAAGCUAAUGGAAAUAUGUAUAAAUCAUCAUUUUAUCUUUAUGUAGCAUAUUGUCCGAAGAUUGGGAAAUUUCGUGGGAAAUUGUCCGAAGACAGGAAACGUAAUUUCUCUCUAAAAAAUAAGGAAAUUUCAGAUGUAUUUUCUUUUAACUGGCGAAAAAACAGGAAGACAAAGAAAGAAAGGAAUAUCUUAUUUCUUGUAGGAGUAUGGUUAGCACGAGCUAUAAGAGUUGUACACGAGAGAAAAGAAAAGGGAAGGCCUAUCGAUUCUUUUUUUCUAUGUUCACAGGUAGUACGGAUCGCUUACCAUGAACAUCAAACCUAUCAUUCAUAAACUGUGCCUAGACUUCUUUAAUCAUUUACAUAUAUAAAUUUGGUUAAUCAAGUUGGAGAAGUUCGUGUCAAGAACCAUGCUGUAUAUGUUUGAUAAUGCAGUGAAUAUAAUUUUACAACAAUAUUUUUCAAUUAAUAAAAUAUUUCUUAAAGAAAUUUUCAAUAAUCUUGUUAAGAAAUUUGGGUGGCCAGACAUUUUAAAGAAUGAUGCUAGUUUCUGGCCACAAGUGGUCAUGCUAGUGACUAAUCACUUUUUGAUCAUGUCUGAUACUGGUGGUGAUCUUUUUUAUCAUCGUAUUUUCCAUCAAUUUUUUUUAACAAAAAGAAAGUUUUUAAAAUGAUUUUGUGAAAAUAACUUUUUAUAAAACAAAUGGUAACUAGUUUUGCAAUAUAUGCGCUUCAAAAGAAAGACCAAAGGUGACAUUUAUUAUAACUUUGCAACCACUGCUAGAUGUUCAUCAUGGCGUCUUCUUCUUCUUUGCCUAGACCUGUUUUGGUUUCCGAUGUAUUUCUAAGUUUUAGAGGUGAAGAUACUCGCAAAAAUUUUACGGAUCAUCUUUACACUGCUUUAGACCGAGCAGGAAUCCAAGCAUUUCGAGAUGACGAAAAACUUCGUAGUGGUGAAGAAAUCUCCUUACAACUCUCCAAAGCAAUUCAAGAAUCCAAGAUUUCUAUAGUGGUUUUCUCUAAGGGCUAUGCUUCCUCCACUUGGUGCCUUGGUGAACUUCUAAAGAUUCUUGAAUGCAGACACACAACUGGUCAGAUUGUUCUACCUGUUUUCUAUGAUAUCGAUCCUUCUGAUAUUAGAAAACAGACGGGGAGUUUUGCUAAAGCUUUCCGUAGACAUAAAAGACGUUUUAAGGAAGAAAUGGAGAAGGUCCAAAAGUGGAGAAAAGCUCUUGUGGAGGCUGCAAAUUUAACUGGGCUGGAUCGUCGCAGUAUCGCAAAUGGGUACUUCUUUUCUUCCCCUAUAUCAAUAGCAAAGGCUCAUAACUUUUACCCUUAUUACAUUUUGUAUUUUAAAUUUGCAUUAAAUUCAAAAGAUUAUCUUUCAUCGAUGAGUGAUGACUUUCUUUUUCUAUCCACAGGCACGAAUCAAAAUUAAUUCAAAAGAUUGUCGAAGAAGUUUCAAGUAAAUUGUAUCCCAGAAGCAUGAACGUUAGUAGUCUGCUGCAGAAGUUGAAGACAGCAAUGAUACCUGGCAGGGGGCUGCUUGACGAUGCUGAGGAGAAGCAGAUAACAAAUGCAGCUGUGCGGGAUUGGCUGGUCGCGUAUAAAGAUGCUGUCUAUGAAGCCGACGACUUCUUGGAUGAGAUUGCUUAUGAAGAUCUACGGCAGGAGUUGGAAGCUGAAGCUCAAAUCUUCAUUAUCCCACGUGAAAUAAUGGGGUUGAGAGAGAUUAGAAGAAAAAUCAAGAGCCUCCAUGAGAGACUAGAUGACUUAGUAAACAAAAGGAUGCCCUUGGUUUGAAUCAACCGCACUGGAAAAGAACCAUCAUCGCAAGACAAAACUUCUCUCGUGAUGAAUCUGGUGUUUAUGGUAGAGAUGAUGACAGCAAAGCAAUACUGAAGUUGCUUCUAUCAGAUGAUGCAAAUGGACAAAACCCAGGUGUCGUUCCCAUAGUAGGAAUGGGCGGGGUUGGUAAAACCACGCUUGCGCAGCUUGUAUACAAUCACAGCAGAGUACAAGAGUGGUUCAACCUCGAAGCUUGGGUUUGUGUUUCAGAAGAUUUCAGUGUUUUGAAGUUAACCAAGGUUAUCCUUGAGGCGUUCGGUUCAAAGCCUGAUUCUGAUAGACUGGAUAAGCUCCAGCUUCAGUUGAAGAAGAGAUUGGAGGGAAAUGAAUUCUUGCUUGUUUUAGAUGACGUUUGGAAUGAAGAUUAUGAUGAAUGGGAUAGGUUUCUUACCCCCCUGAAGUUCGGAGCACAAGGGAGUAAGAUUCUUGUCACAACACGCAAUGAAAGUGUAGCAUCAGUCAUGAGAACUGUUCCAACUCAUCAUCUAAAAGAAUUGACGGAAGACAGCUGCUGGUCUGUGUUCGCCAAACAUGCAUUUCGUGGUGAAAAUCCCAAUGAUUAUGAAGAGUUGCUAGAGAUUGGCAAAGCUAUAGCAAGAAAGUGUAAAGGCCUUCCUCUAGCUGCAAAAACACUCGGAGGUCAACUACGCACCCAAAGAGAUGCCGAGGAGUGGGAGAAGUUAUUGGAAAGCAAUCUAUGGGAUUUACCCAAUGAAGGUAUCCUCCACAUCUGAAGCAAUGUUUUGCUUAUUGUGCCAUAUUUCCAAAAGACUAUUCAUUUAAAAAGGAUGAAUUGGUUCUCUUUUGGAUGGCAGAGGGCUUCUUAGACCCCUCUGCAGUAGAUGAUGAGAUGGAAAAAGCAGGUGCUAUGUGCUUUGAUGAUCUCUUGUCAAGGUCCUUUUUCCAGCAAUCAAGUGUCUCUCGCUCAUCAUUUGUGAUGCACGAUCUCAUGCAUGACUUGGCUACCCAUGUGUCCGGUCAAUUUUGCUUCAGCUCCAGGUUGGGGGAAAAUAAUUCUUCCAAGGCCACCAGAAGGACUCGACAUUUAUCACAUACGGGAGCCGGUUUUCGCAGCACAAAAUUGGAAAACAUCCGUGAAGCCCAACUUAUACGCACAUUCCAAAAUUGGCAUCAUUUUCCUGGUUGGUACUAUAAAGAGAUCUUUCAUAUAUUGCCAACACUUGGGCGCCUACGUGUGCUAUCCUUGUCUGUCCAUCCCGGUGCAGCUAAGAUGCUUUGUUCAAUUAGCAAGUUGAAGCAUUUGCGGUAUUUGGAUCUCUCGUCGUCAGAAUAUUUAGUAACGUUGCCUGAAGAAGUGAGUGCUCUUCUCAAUUUGCAAACGUUGAUCUUGAAAAAGUGCCAACAACUUGCUAGUCUACCUGAUCUUGGAAAUUUGAAGCAUUUACGACAUCUGAAUCUUGAAGGAGCAGGAAUCAAAAGGUUGCCUGCAUCUCUGGUAAGGUUAAUCAACUUGCGGUAUCUUAACAUCUCAUGGACGAAUUCUUUGAAAGAGAUGCCACCACAUAUAGGUCAACUUGCAAAGCUCCAAACGUUGACUUUAUUUCUCGUGGGAAGACAAAGUGAGAAUAGCAUUAAAGAAUUGGGAAAGCUACGACAUCUACGGGGAAAACUUCAUAUUGAGAACCUUGAAAAUGUGGUGGAUGCUCGGGAUGCUGCUGAGGCAAAUUUGAAAUGUAAAAAGCUUGAUCAUCUGAUCUUUAGCUGGAAUGGUAAGACUCAUGACCCGCAACACGUAACAAGCACACUUGAGAAAUUAGAGCCAAAUAGAAAGGUGAAG
rnacentral:lncRNA from 1 species